AGGAGAGGAAAGGAGAGCAGAAGCGUGGAGAGCAGAAAGGAAAGAGGCAGAGCUGAAACCGAGAGUCUGGCAAACACACAGGCAGGCAGGACACAAGUCAACAGCUCUCCUCAAGAACAAGGGACUGCAGCAUGGCCAAGGAGUUGGCACACGAUACUGGUUCACACUUUAUCUGCCUGAAGCCACCAAUGAUGGAAUGGAGUGACCUUCCCUUGGCGAGAUGCCACCUGCAGAGGGACUCUUAGCUCCAUGCUGCCUCUGUGACCGACAGACUGACCUCAUCGUCUUAGACAUGCUCAGGACUCUUCCAAAGAAUUUAUGUCACAGUUCACAGAUCUGCAUAUUCUGGACAGCGCUGGUCCCCGAAUCUGAACUGUGAUGAACGUUUGGGGCUUGGCAGGAUCAGGAUACACACAGGGGGGCCGAUGCACAGGACUUUUAAUUUGUAAUCUGUCAGCUGUGGAACGAGAGCAGCCCCAAAGGUACUUUUCUUCAUCUCCUCCAAGCUUCUCGUGAGAGGAGAGCAGAUGCAGGAGAGCUCGCUCCUCGUCUGACGCAAACUCCAGCCAUGAUAUCCGCGGCGCUCAAGUGGGUGGUGCUCGUGGCGUUCAUCGUGCUGAUCAUUGGCGGGAACGUGCUGGUGUGCCUGGCCGUCGGCACGAGCCGCCGGCUGCACCGGAUCGCUAACUGCUUCGUGGUGUCGCUGGCAGUGUCCGAUCUGCUGCUGGGCCUAUUGGUGCUCCCCUUGUCGGCCACACUGGAGCUGCGCGACGGCCUUUGGCCACUGGGGGGCGCACUCUGCAACAUCUACAUCUCCAUGGACGUGAUGUUGUGCACGGCGUCCAUCCUCACGCUGCUAGCCAUCAGUGUGGACCGCUACAUGGUCAUCACGGGCCCGCUGCGCUACCCCCAGCGGGUCACCCCUCGGCGGGUGGCCGCCGCCAUCGUGGCCAUCUGGGCGAGCUCGCUGGCGGUGUCCUUUUUGCCUAUUCACCUGGGCUGGAACACGCGGAACUUCACCGUCCAGCACGAGGACUGGCUAAUGCACGUGGAGAAGGACAAAUGGACCUGCCGCUACGAGUGGAAUAACAGCUACGUGAUCCUAGACUCCUUUGGCACUUUUUACCUCCCCCUGCUGGUCAUGUGUGGGAUGUACCAUCGGAUCUUCUGUGUGGCUCGUGAACAGGUGCGGCGCAUCCGUGCGGCCACGCCCUCCUUCGCCCGCUCGGCCUCGGCCGCUGCGACGGCGCGCGAGCACAAAGCCACGGUGACCCUGGCGGCCGUGCUGGGCGCCUUCGUCGUCUGCUGGUUCCCCUACUUCACCUUCUUCACCUGCAUGGGCAUGCGGGCCGAGCCCGACCCGCCCGAGAUCAUCCACUCGGUGGUGCUGUGGAUGGGCUACUUCAACUCGGCGCUCAACCCCAUCCUCUACCCGGCGCUGAACCGCGACUUCCGCCGGGCCUACGGCCAGCUGCUGCGCUGCAGGGGGGCCAAUCACCGGCCCUCCGCCGCCUCCAUGUGCGUGGCCCUGCAGAAACGAACUGCCACCUCCAACGGACACCAAAUUGUCCACGACAAGAGCAAGUCGCUGGAGGACAGCUAUCUCAGUAUCCAAGAGGGAAACGGAAAUGAUUUGACUGGCCAGACAAGGUCUUAAACUUACCUUCUCCCUGACGCCUACCUGGUGACAGGUGAGACACACAGAAAUAUACCAAAGAUUCCCUCUGUGGGGGGGCAGAGAAUGAGAGAGAACGAGAGAGCGAGAGCGAGAGAGAGAGAGAGAGAGGACGGGACAAGCCCAACCAGUCAGGGCUGCUUCGGACGGCUAACGAGGAGAGUCACUGGUGAUCAGAGGACGUCUGGCUAAAUCUGGAUUUCUUCUUCUCCCUCCUUGGUCUGUUCCUACCGGGUCCAAAGGGCAGAAGCAGUCUUCCUUCCCAGUUAUGGUGUGGGAAAGGGUUGCUACGACAACACAAGUAAUGGGAGUCAGACAUUGUCUCUCAAGAUGUCCUGCCACUUUAGUUACUUUGUGAACUGCUUGUGAGAUAUUUUUAUGUUGGAUAUUUGAUGAUGAUCAUGCCAUAAUAGAUAUUGUAUUAAGGGUAUUUAUAUGCAAUUCAUUUUCUAAUUUAUUUUGUCUUUCCCAUUCCCCUUGCCAUGAUUCUGUGAGUGACAUGUAGACACAAAUGUUUAAAAUGUAAACUCGCAAAAGUAAAACAAUAGACUCCUGCAAUAGAUUGCAGGAAGUGCACUCAAGUGCAAAGGCAACCUAAGCCCUUCAUAAGAAGAUAUGUUACUGCUCUCUAGUGGAAGCACCACCACAGCACAGUGGAAAUGCACAGCAGUGCCCAAAGUCACCCACAGAGGGCAGCAGAGGAGCAUGCUCAUUAAUUGCAAUCGUGGAGUACAGGGGAAUUGAGAU